CUACCUGAUUCAGCGGCGGACGGGUGAGUAAUGCCUAGGAAUCUGCCCGAUAGUGGGGGACAACGUUUCGAAAGGAACGCUAAUACCGCAUACGUCCUACGGGAGAAAGUGGGGGAUCUUCGGACCUCACGCUAUCGGAUGAGCCUAGGUCGGAUUAGCUAGUUGGUGAGGUAAUGGCUCACCAAGGCGACGAUCCGUAACUGGUCUGAGAGGAUGAUCAGUCACACUGGAACUGAGACACGGUCCAGACUCCUACGGGAGGCAGCAGUGGGGAAUAUUGGACAAUGGGCGAAAGCCUGAUCCAGCCAUGCCGCGUGUGUGAAGAAGGUCUUCGGAUUGUAAAGCACUUUAAGUUGGGAGGAAGGGCAGUAAGCUAAUACCUUGCUGUUUUGACGUUACCAACAGAAUAAGCACCGGCUAACUCUGUGCCAGCAGCCGCGGUAAUACAGAGGGUGCAAGCGUUAAUCGGAAUUACUGGGCGUAAAGCGCGCGUAGGUGGUACAGCAAGUUGGAUGUGAAAUCCCCGGGCUCAACCUGGGAACUGCAUCCAAAACUACUGAGCUAGAGUACGGUAGAGGGUGGUGGAAUUUCCUGUGUAGC
rnacentral:rRNA from 1 species